AAAAGAGAAGACAAAAAUCAGCCAACUCUCUCUCUCUCUGUAUUCCAUUUUCACCCACGCUCCCUCUUCUCCUCAUCGCCUUUUUUCUCAUAAAAGAUGGAAGAUCCCCUUCUCCACCUCCUUCUUCUCCUUUCAAUUCCCAAAAAAUCCGCAUGCCAUCAUCGGCGGAAUUUCCUCCCAGCCGCAACUUUCAGUCAAAGAAAAAGAAAAGGGCUGGAGUUCCUAAUUUAAAAUCUUUCUGGCCUAAAAUAUUGGGCCAACAGCUAUUAGGAUUAUCACCGAGCUCGAAGUCUUGUAAAUUCGGAGUCGACAUUCCUUGGCCUUCCUCGUUACCCCUUUGAUUAUAUAUCUCUUGAUACAUUAAUUUGUUUAUAUAUAUGUUUACAUAAAUGUGAUAUUGAAACUAAUCUCUUUUUUUUUUUUUU